rnacentral:rRNA from 1 species
UACGGGGGGGGGCAAGCGUUGUUCGGAAUUACUGGGCGUAAAGGGCGCGUAGGCGGCUUUUCAAGUCGGGCGUGAAAUCUCCGGGCUUAACCCGGAAGGGUCGUUCGAUACUGUUGAGCUAGAGUGUGGAAGAGGCAACUAGAAUUCCGUGUGUAGCGGUGAAAUGCGUAGAUAUACGGAGGAAUACCUGAGGCGAAGGCGGGUUGCUGGGCCAACACUGACGCUGAGGCGCG